rnacentral:ncRNA from 1 species
AUGAUGGUUUGAUCGCUUUUCAUUAUAGAUCUUAUGGGACCUUUUUUCUACAACAAAAUAGACUCCAUACUAUUCAUAGGGGAUUUACCCACUACAAAUAGUAUAGAGCC